rnacentral:rRNA from 1 species
GGGUGAGUAACACGUGGAUAACCUACCUAUAAGACUGGGAUAACUUCGGGAAACCGGAGCUAAUACCGGAUAAUAUUUUGAACCGCAUGGUUCAAAAGUGAAAGACGGUCUUGCUGUCACUUAUAGAUGGAUCCGCGCUGCAUUAGCUAGUUGGUAAGGUAACGGCUUACCAAGGCAACGAUGCAUAGCCUACCUGAGAGGGUGAUCGGCCACACUGGAACUGAGACACGGUCCAG